GAGAAACUGAAAAUCAAGGUGUUGGAUGAGCCAUGCUCUCCAUGAAGCCUCUAGUGUAUAAAUAGAACCUCAGAAGAUGGUUAAGCUGAAGAGAGAGCCUUAAGAGGACAGCAUUCCAGCGGGAUCAAUUAACAGUUUGGAGACAAUGUGGGGGAUAAGAGCCUAAGGUUUCCACACUCAGGCCUAGGGGGCCAGAGGAUGCUUCUCCUUCCAACACUCAUGAGAGUCCAGCCAUUCAGAAUUCUCCACACCAUGACUGGGGUCCCAGUGAACUGUCAAAGAUAAAGA